GCUGUAUUAGUUCUGAAUAAACUGUUCCUCCUAGAGGUGUAUACUGAAAGAUUGUAAUACUGAAAGAUUGUGACCACUUUUAAAGUCAGUGAUAACCCCACAUUCUUCUAGAAAGCGGAGACAUAGCUACCCAUAUUAUAUUGGCUAAAGGCAUACAAUAUCAUUUAGCCAGGUGAUAAGCCAUGAUAUCACCUAAAGGUAUUUUUGUCUGCUGUGGUUUUCCCAUUUAAGGAUUAUACAUUUACACACAAUAGGCACACAGUAUUUU